rnacentral:rRNA from 1 species
CUCCUACGGGAGGCAGCAGUCGGGAAUAUUGCGCAAUGGAGGAAACUCUGACGCAGUGACGCCGCGUGCAGGAAGAAGGUUUUCGGAUUGUAAACUGCUUUAGACAGGGAAGAAAAAAGACAGUACCUGUAGAAUAAGCUCCGGCUAACUACGUGCCAGCAGCCGCGGUAAUACGUAGGGAGCGAGCGUUAUCCGGAUUUAUUGGGUGUAAAGGGUGCGUAGACGGGAAAUUAAGUUAGUUGCGAAAUCCCACGGCUCAACUGUGGAACUGCAACUAAAACUGAUUUUCUUGAGUACUGGAGAGGAAAGUGGAAUUCCUAGUGUAGCGGUGAAAUGCGUAGAUAUUAGGAGGAACACCAGUGGCGAAGGCGACUUUCUGGACAGAAACUGACGUUGAGGCACGAAAGUGUGGGGAGCAAACAGNAUUAGGUACCCUGGUAGUCCACACCGUAAACGAUGGAUACUAGGUGUAGGGUGUGAUAAACACUCUGUGCCGUCGCAAACGCAAUAAGAUCCC